rnacentral:ncRNA from 1 species
GGGUGCGGCGAUGCGCGCCGCAGGACCACGGAUGGUCGGGCCGCCAUCC